rnacentral:rRNA from 1 species
UACGUAGGGUGCAGGCGUUAAUCGGAAUUACUGGGCGUAAAGCGUGCGCAGGCGGUUUGCUAAGUCAGGCGUGAAAUCCCCGGGCUUAACCUGGGAACUGCGCUUGUAACUGGCAAGCUGGAGUGUGGGAGAGGGGGGUGGAAUUCCACGUGUAGCAGUGAAAUGCGUAGAGAUGUGGAGGAACACCGAUGGCGAAGGCAACCCCCUGGGCUAACACUGACGCUCAUGCACGAAAGCGUGGGGAGCAAACAGG